UCAGGUUUAUAGAAACAGGUGGUUGGUUUUGCGGUAAACUGGCUUCGCACCACUACUUUACCAGAUCUAAAGGUAGUACAGAGAUGUCGUCAGAAAUGACCCUGCCAACAAUCCCUAUUUCAGAAUAUAGCCCACUCUCGGGCAUCCCGGCCUCAGAGUCCGCAGUGGCCGAAGAAAACAGAAUCUUACGUCUGAGGGUAAUGGAGAUGUGAGAUGCAUGGACAAAUGGAAAAGAACCCCCAGCGUCAUCCCUGGAUUUCCCGAGUUGUUCCCAAGACCAACGGGUACCUAUAAC
rnacentral:lncRNA from 1 species